AGGACGAACGCUGGCGGCGUGCUCAUACAUGCAAGUCGAACGAGAAUCUGACUUCGGUCAGAGGAAAGUGGCGGACGGGUGAGUAAUGUGUAGAGAAUCUGCCCUUUAGUGGGGGACAACAGUUGGAAACGACUGCUAAUACCCCAUAUGCGCGUAGUUGAGAUGCUAUUCGUGAAAACUCCGGUGCUAAAGGAUGAGUCUGCAUCUGAUUAGCUAGUUGGCGGUGUAAUGGACCACCAAGGCGACGAUCAGUAGCUGGUUUGAGAGGAUGAUCAGCCACAAUGGGACUGAGACACGGCCCAUACUCCUACGGGAGGCAGCAGUAGGGAAUUUUGCGCAAUGGGGGAAACCCUGACGCAGCAACGCCGCGUGAUUGAAUAAGCCCUUCGGGGUGUAAAGAUCUGUCAGUGGGGACGAAACUUGACGGUACCCACAGAGGAAGCAUCGGCUAACUCCGUGCCAGCCGCGGC
rnacentral:rRNA from 1 species